rnacentral:sRNA from 1 species
GAAUGUGGCGCUCCACGGUUGGUGAGCAUGCUCGGUUCGUCCGAGAAGCCUUAAAACCGUGACGACACAUUCACCUUGAACCAAGGGUUCAAGGGUUACAGCCUGCGGCGGCAUCUCGGAGAUUCC